UCAUUAACGUUAUAUCCUCCUUUAUUGUUUGACUUGUUAGUUGUAAGAGGUGGUAGUGUUUCUGAAUUGU
rnacentral:tRNA from 1 species